AUUGAACGCUGGCGGCAGGCUUAACACAUGCAAGUCGAACGAGUGGCGGCCGGGUGAGUAAUGCUUGGGACUCUAGCUCAUGAAGGGGGAUAACUACGGGAACCUGUAGCUAAUACCGCGUAACAUAGGAUGAGCCCAAGUGGGAUUAGGUAGUUGGUGAGGUAAAGGCUCAACAAGCAGACGAUCUCUAGCUGGUCUGAGAGAAUGACCAGCCACACGGGGACUGAGACACGGCCCGAACUCCUACGGGAGGCAGCAUUGGGGAAUAUUGCGCAAUGGGGGCAACCUGACGCAGCCAUGCCGCGUGAAUGAAGAAGGCCUUCGGGUUGUAAAGUUCGUUCGGUAGCGAGGCGUUAACUACAGAAGAAGCACCGGCUAACUCCGUGCCAGCCGCCGCGGUAAUAC
rnacentral:rRNA from 1 species